UUUUGGGCAGCAGCCAACAGAUUGACACCCAACCCCGCCAGGUCCGGAAGGAAGCAACGGUCAGUGAUUAGUCUGUGUGGUUGUUUGCCCUUUUUAU
rnacentral:SRP_RNA from 2 species